rnacentral:rRNA from 1 species
ACGGUAGAGGGAGCAACCCCUUGAGAGUGGCGAACGGGUGAGUAGUAUAUCGGAACGUGCCCAGUCGUGGGGGAUAACGUAGUGAAAAUUACGCUAAUACCGCAUACGAUCUAAGGAUGAAAGCGGGGGAUCGCAAGACCUCGCGCGACUGGAGCGGCCGAUAUCAGAUUAGGUAGUUGGUAGGGUAAAGGCUUACCAAGCCAACGAUCUGUAGCUGGUCUGAGAGGACGACCAGCCACACUGGAACUGAGACACGGUCCAGACUCCUACGGGAGGCAGCAGUGGGGAAUUUUGGACAAUGGGCGAAAGCCUGAUCCAGCCAUUCCGCGUGCAGGAUGAAGGCCCUCGGGUUGUAAACUGCUUUUGUACAGAACGAAAAGGUUUUUAUUAAUACUAGGAGCUCAUGACGGUACUGUAAGAAUAAGCACCGGCUAACUACGUGCCAGCAGCCGCGGUAAUACGUAGGGUGCAAGCGUUAAUCGGAAUUACUGGGCGUAAAGCGUGCGCAGGCGGUUAUAUAAGUCAGAUGUGAAAUCCCCGGGCUCAACCUGGGAACUGCAUUUGAGACUGUAUAGCUAGAGUACGGUAGAGGGGGAUGGAAUUCCGCGUGUAGCAGUGAAAUGCGUAGAUAUGCGGAGGAACACCGA